AGACCCGAAACCCGGUGAUCUAGCCAUGGGCAGGUUGAAGGUUGGGUAACACUAACUGGAGGACCGAACCGACUAAUGUUGAAAAAUUAGCGGAUGACCUGUGGCUGGGGGUGAAAGGCCAAUCAAACCGGGAGAUAGCUGGUUCUCCCCGAAAGCUAUUUAGGUAGCGCCUCGUGAAUUCAUCUCCGGGGGUAGAGCACUGUUUCGGCUAGGGGGCCAUCCCGGCUUACCAACCCGAUGCAAACUGCGAAUACCGGAGAAUGUUAUCACGGGAGACACACGGCGGGUGCUAACGUCCGUCGUGAAGAGGGAAACAACCCAGACCGCCAGCUAAGGUCCCAAAGUCAUGGUUAAGUGGGAAACGAUGUGGGAAGGCCCAGACAGCCAGGAUGUUGGCUUAGAAGCAGCCAUCAUUUAAAGAAAGCGUAAUAGCUCACUGGUCGAGUCGGCCUGCGCGGAAGAUGUAACGGGGCUAAACCAUGCACCGAAGCUGCGGCAGCGAACGUAUCACCCAAGACAACUUUACGGAGUUGACGAUUGACGGAGCGAAGCGACGUCAAAGCGUUCAUUAAAGUCGAGUUGGCUUAGGGAUACGUUCGUUGGGUAGGGGAGCGUUCUGUAAGCCUGUGAAGGUGUGUCGUGAGGCAUGCUGGAGGUAUCAGAAGUGCGAAUGCUGACAUAAGUAACGAUAAAGCGGGUGAAAAGCCCGCUCGCCGGAAGACCAAGGGUUCCUGUCCAACGUUAAUCGGGGCAGGGUGAGUCGACCCCUAAGGCGAGGCCGAAAGGCGUAGUCGAUGGGAAACGGGUUAAUAUUCCCGUACUUGGUGUUACUGCGAAGGGGGGACGGAGAAGGCUAUGUUGGCCGGGCGACGGUUGUCCCGGUUUAAGCGUGUAGGUGUGUGUUCCAGGUAAAUCCGGUUCACUUUAACACUGAGGCGUGACGACGAGGCACUACGGUGCUGAAGCAACAAAUGCCCUGCUUCCAGGAAAAGCCUCUAAGCAUCAGGUAACACGAAAUCGUACCCCAAACCGACACAGGUGGUCAGGUAGAGAAUACCAAGGCGCUUGAGAGAACUCGGGUGAAGGAACUAGGCAAAAUGGUGCCGUAACUUCGGGAGAAGGCACGCUGACA
rnacentral:rRNA from 1 species